rnacentral:misc_RNA from 1 species
ACACCUCAACUCUUCAUGGUUUUUCUGUGAUGAGCUUGGACUUUGGGGGUUUUGCUGGCCUAUGGUCGGCCCCUCUAAAAUGAAUCAGCUUGCCAGUGUUUGGUGGGCAUCACAGGUGUGAUAACUAUCUACGCUUGUGGUUUUCCACCAGGUAACCUUCAGCAAUGGAGGUUUGCUGGAGCUCACAGAUGUCUCUCCUCGGUGAGGACGACCCUUUGAAU